CUGAUCGCGACCGACGGUUUUCCUUCCCGUACUCCGCCGCAGUCCGCACGUUUUCCUUUCGCUCUCGUUCUCUCCGCCUGCACGCGAGGGACAAACGCGCGAGUGGCUUGGAGUGGCUCAAGUGACAGUGACAGUUUUCCGUGGCGUGCGACUUGUGCCCCGUCGCCUGGCCGUCGCCUGGCCGUCGCCGUUUUUUUAACGGCCCGACCGAGAGCCGAGGGACCGAUAACCUAAUUCGCCUGACGAGAUUACGUGGACGGUUGCUUAAUUCGCCCGUAGGACGUAGGACACACGGAAAAAAUGGAGAAGAACGUGGGUUUUACUGCGGCCCAACCUUCGGCUCCUCUACCAUUGGCUCCGCCGUCUUAUGAGGAAGCCAUAGCUAACGCAGGAGGAGCACCUACGCACCCUCCAGUUGUCUCCACACCGUAUCCCCUGGGAACUGCGCCAGUGCAAAUGCCCAUGCCAUACCAUCAACCACCAAAUCAAACGACGAUACCUACGCCGUCAGUUUAUCCCGGCUCUAGCCACUCAACAUCGCAGCCGCGUUUCAAUCCCGAGUUAAAUUCCGUGCCGCAGACGGAAGUACGGGUCAUGCAACACCAUACAGUGUAUGCCAUAGGACCGAAUGCAGUGAAAAUGACCUGUCCGACGUGUCGCGCCGAUAUUAAAACUACCACAAUAUCGGAUCAUCAGCCGAGUGCUCACAUUUGCUGCAUCGUACUCUGCUUACUUGGAUGCUGCCUCUGCUCAUGCCUGCCAUAUUGCAUGAACGCUUUCAUGAGCGUUCAUCACUUCUGUCCAAACUGCAAAAAUUACAUCGGCACGUGGAAAGGUUGAUUUUACAAUUGCGCACCCGUAGGUUCCAACCCUCCCGCGUAUCGAGACGCUCUACAAUUCUAUUAAGACCUCGAUAUUCUUCGUUUAUUACACAUUAAAGACUACAGAAAAGAAGGAUUAUCGAAAACACUACAGAUAGAUUUGUGCUGGAAACAAAUUUAUAAUGGCGUAAAGUCUUAUUAAAACGUCAGGGACUGUGAAGAAAGCAUUUGUCGAUUACAAAUUUCGUAUUUCAACUUCCAUGAUAAGUCAGAUAAGUAAAACAGAUUGACCUAUGCAUUAUUCUUAUUUUACACAUGACAUAAUUCUGUUCACAUAUCAAUCCAGAUAGCCGAAUAAACAACAUUCCAGAACGAGCAAGUUUGAUGAGGAGCUCAAAAAAUAUAUAGCGGUAUUUCUCAUUCGCUUGAAUUUCUCAUUUUAUAUCUUUCAUCUUUUAUUUCUCUAAAGUUUUAUAGCUAUAGAAAGAGAAAUUUGUUUUUCAAGUAGUAUUAAAUUAGUAUUACAGUCUAUAGUAUUAUAUUAAGAUAAUAUUCUUCCUAAACAAUGAGAGUUUUUUUAUCAAAUACAUGCUAAUAUAUUUUUUUAAAAUUAUUUUUGAGCGAUAACAUUUCACAAAUAUUAUAAAAUGAGCAAUGCUUUGUUAAUUGAGGAACACUGCUUUGUGUGUGUAGAAAUUCACAAACUAAAAAAUAGAUGUAUAACUUAAAUAGUACUUUUUAUAUCAUUUCUCCGUUGUCUUCAUAAUAAUAAUUGUUGAUAAGUUUAUACUUAGUUAAUUAGGAAUUAACAACCAAUGACAGCAGCUAUUUAAUUAAACCACAGGCGAUUAACCUUACAUUCGGAUACACCACUAUUUAGCCGACCAUUUUUUGAAGUUUAAGAUUUAUUCACCAAAUAAUGUUUCAUUUUCAUUUCACGCAGUUUCAGAGAAACAGAAUCCUAUAAUUUUAGAUAAAUUAUGUAUCAAAUAAUAGCGUUGGGAAAAGAUUUUAUACAAUGCAAUUUUUUACACAGCAUUAUAUUUUUCCCUCUAUUUUUAGGAUGUAUUUUAUUUUUACUAAAUUAUUUGUGUGGUUUUAAAUGAUAGCUCAUGUACAUUUUAUUAUUUGUUGCGAUGACGCUGCAUUUGUUAAGAAUAUAUCUUCUAUGGUGCCAGAGGAUGAGAACGGUAAAAUACAGUAUAAAUACAUUAAAAGUAAAGUAAUUAUUAACCAUUAUUCUUGAUAUCCUUGGUUAUUCAGUGCUUUAUAAUUUUUUAUAUUUGAAAAAACUUUUUACUUUGAAGAAAUGUAGUACUGGAAAAAAACUUAGAACUUGCAACAAAUGUUUGGCAACGUAAAAAGUGAAAAAAUUUGAAACUUUGUAGAGAAAAGUAAGUUGGAUAGAAUAAUAAUAACAAAGCAAUUUUUCUUUUUUCUUUGAGGAAGUAAUUGACAUGUUCUUAAAUCUUUUUACUGUAGAUCUUGACCUGCAUAAUCAAGAUUUUCAUCUUUC